GCGGGUGUGGUGGAAUUGGUAGACGCGCUGGAUUCAAAAUCCAGUGUCCUUAGGACGUGCCGGUUCAAGUCCGGCCACCCGCACCA
rnacentral:tRNA from 1 species